CGAAAGUGCUGCUAAUACCUGAUGAUACCUCCGCGUCGCUUGGCGUGGAGAUCAAAGGUGGGGACCGCAAGGCCUACCGGUCUGGGAGCGGCCCAUGUCCUAUCAGCUUGUUGGUGAGGUAACGGCUCACCAAGGCGCCGACGGGUAGCGGGACUGAGAGGUUGGCCCGCCACAUCGGGACUGAGACACUGCCCGGACACCUACGGGUGGCUGCAGUAACGAAUAUUGGGCAAUGGGCGCAAGCCUGACCCAGCAAUGCCGCGUGCAGGAGGAAGCCCUUCGGGGUGUAAACUGCUGUCAGGGGUUCGCAAGCAAUGGACGUUAAUAGCGUCCGGCGUUGAGCAGCCCCAGAGGAAGCCUCGACUAACUCUGUGCCAGCAGUCGCGGUAAUACAGAGGAGGCAAGCGUUGUUCGGAAUCACUGGGCUUAAAGAGGGUGUAGGCGGCUUGGCAAGUGUCCUGUGAAAGCCCACGGCUCAACCGUGGAAUUGCAGGGCAAACUGCCUGGCUUGAGUUCGGUAGAGGUGCCUGGAGCUCUCGGUGGAGCGGUGAAAUGCGUAGAUAUCGAGAGGAAUGCCGGAGGCGAAAGCGGGGCACUGGGCCGACACUGACGCUGAGACCCGAAAGCGUGGGGAGCAAACCGGAUUAGAUACCCUGGUAGUCCACGCCGUUAACGAUGCACACUAGACGUCGGAAGUUCUGACACCAUCGGCGUCGCAGCAAAAGUACCUAAGUGUGCCGGCUGGGGAGUACG
rnacentral:rRNA from 1 species